UACGUAGGGUGCAAGCGUUAAUCGGAAUUACUGGGCGUAAAGCGUGCGCAGGCGGUUGUGCAAGACCGAUGUGAAAUCCCCGGGCUUAACCUGGGAAUGGCAUUGGUGACUGCACGGCUAGAGUGUGUCAGAGGGGGGUAGAAUUCCGCGUGUAGCAGUGAAAUGCGUAGAGAUGCGGAGGAACACCGAUGGCGAAGGCAGCCCCCUGGGCCAAUACUGACGCUCAGGCACGAAAGCGUGGGGAGCAAACAGG
rnacentral:rRNA from 1 species